GACGAACGCUGGCGGCGUGCUUAACACAUGCAAGUCGAACGGAAAGGCCCCUUUGGGGGUACUCGAGUGGCGAACGGGUGAGUAACACGUGAGUAACCUGCCCUUGACUUCGGGAUAACUUCAGGAAACUGGGGCUAAUACCGGAUAGGAAUCCUUUCUGCAUGGUGGGGGUUGGAAAGCUUCGGCGGUUGUGGAUGGACUCGCUGCUUAUCAGCUUGUUGGUGGGGGAGUGGCUUACCAAGGCUUUGACGGGUAGCCGGCCUGAGAGGGCGACCGGCCACAUCGGGAUUGAGAUACGGCCCAGACUCCAACGGGAGGCAGAAGUGGGGAAUAUUGAACAAUGGGCGGAAGCCUGAUGCAGAAACGCCGCGGGCGGGAGGACGGACUUCGGGUUGGAAACCGAAUUCAGCAGGGGCGAAGCUUGUGGUGACGGUACCUGCAGAAGAAGCACCGGCUAACUACGUG
rnacentral:rRNA from 1 species